rnacentral:rRNA from 1 species
GUGGGGUAACGGCCUACCAAGGCAACGACGGGUAGCUGGUCUGAGAGGACGAUCAGCCACACUGGGACUGAGACACGGCCCAGACUCCUACGGGAGGCAGCAGUAGGGAAUCUUGCGCAAUGGGCGAAAGCCUGACGCAGCGACGCCGCGUGCGGGAUGAAGGCCUUCGGGUCGUAAACCGCUUUCAGCAGGGACGAAAUUGACGGUACCUGCAGAAGAAGGCCCGGCCAACUACGUGCCAGCAGCCGCGGUGAUACGUAGGGGUCUAGCGUUGUCCGGAAUUAUUGGGCGUAAAGAGCUCGUAGGCGGUUCGGCAAGUCGGAUGUGAAAUCUCCACGCUUAACGUGGAGGGGCCAUUCGAAACUGCUGUGACUCGAGUCCGGUAGGGGAGUUCGGAAUUCCCGGUGUAGCGGUGAAAUGCGCAGAUAUCGGGAGGAACACCAGUGGCGAAGGCGGAACUCUGGGCCGGAACUGACGCUGAGGAGCGAAAGCGUGGGGAGCGAACAGGAUUAGAUACCCUGGUAGUCCACGCCGUAAACGUUGGGCACUAGGUGUGGGGUUCUAUCGACGGAUUCCGUGCCGUAGCUAACGCAUUAAGUG